GACGAACGCUGGCGGCGUGCUUAACACAUGCAAGUCGAACGGAGUGGCGAACGGGUGCGUAACACGUGGGUGACCUGCCCGGCCCUUCGGGAUAAGCCUGGGAAACUGGGUCUAAUACCGGAUAGUGUGGGAUGGGCCCGGGGCCUAUCAGCUUGUGGGGGGGGUAAUGGCCUACAAAGGCGGCGACGGAUAGCCGGCCGGAGAGGGUGGACGGGCACAUAGUGACUGAGACACGGCCCAGACUGCUACGGGAGGCAGCAGUGGGGAAUAUUGCACAAUGGGCGGAAGCCUGAUGCAGCGUCGCCGUGUUGGGGAUGACGGCCUUCGGGUUGUAAACGCCUUUCACCAUCGACGCGGUAGCUGGAUAAGAAGCCCCGGCUAACUACGUGCCAGCAGCCGCGGUAAUAC
rnacentral:rRNA from 1 species